UGCCAAAAUAUCAAAAUAAUACAAAUUGCUCCCCUUGCUUGUGCUCAGGGCUCAGACUUUUGGGAGAUUUCUCCCCUCUGGGCCCACUGAUGUAAAAUAAACCUCAAAACUCAAGACCUCCGAGUGCUGCUUGGUUCUUCCAUCAGUGAUCCAGUCCAGGCUUUCCAGUAUUUUCUGUAACAUUUGCUUUCCUGACAGGGAAACCCAACCUGGGCAAUGGCGGAGUGGUGAUGGAACAGGAGAUCUCAACGGAGAAGCCACAUCCUGCCUGAUCCCUCAGCAGUCUCCCGCCCGGUCACCCUGGGCCAGCCCCGCUCUGCUGUUCCUGCCAUACUCAAGGAGGCUUGGCAGGUGAGGACCUGGUUCCGACGUCGAAUCUGAGCCAGCCAGCCCACAGACCUUUGGAUCUGUAGGACCUAAACAUUCAGUGAAGACAGCAGCAUUCAGAGAUUUCAUCUUGAGAAGAAUUUACUCAAAUUGAUUGGAGCUGGAUGAGUAACAUUCUGUGGUCAAUGGCAGCAAGUCAGUGAAAACAUCUCCCUGUUUUUAUUGCAACUUGCCUUCCAAGCUACUAGUGGGUAAGUAAUCCCACAAAAUGAAUCAGAUACUGACAGGAAUCUUGUCUAGUUUUGUGCCUUUCUCAUCCUGGCCCAGCACCAUGUCUGUCACUAACCUGCAUAAUCCUGAAGCGCUUCAUUCUCUGACAGGAUCCCAGGGGAGUCUGGGGAAAGCGCCAGUGAGCUUUCUUCAAAAGGGCAGUGGGAUGGAUUGGAUAAAUGUGUUGUGAGUACCAUCAUCGUUUCCCGAAGCUGCCUUAACAAAUUACCACAAACAGAGUGGCUUAAAAUAACAGAAAUGUCUUCUCUCACAGCUCUGGAUGCAGAAGUCCGAAACCAAGGGUCUGCAGGGCCACACUGCCUCUAGAGGAUCCGGAGGAGAAGCCUUCCGUGACUCUCCAGCUUCUGGGAGAAGCCGGCCAUCCUUCACUGGCAGCCUCAUCACUCCAGCUUCGGCCUCUGUUCACACUGCUUCCUCUUCACUGUUUUCUAUUCUUUCUCUUAUAAGGAUAUUGGUCAUUAGAUUCAGGGCUUACCCAAAUAAUUCAGGAGGAUCUCAUCUCAAGGUCUUUAAUUUAAUUACAUCUGCAAAGGCCUUUUCCCAAAUGAAAUAACAUUUUCAGGUUCCUGGGGUUAGACACAGACAUUCCUUUACAGAAGCCAGCAUUCAACCCGCCUCAAAUGCCUCCUAUGGUAGGAGGCAAAUGAAAGGAGGCUCCGCACAUGCAGUGCUUCAUCAAUUUGAGGCCACAGCUGACAGGAGCCAAAUGCAAGUUCUUUUCCCAAUGGUAGGCUGGGUGAGCUGACAUUCUUAUGUUCCCAGAAAAUACAUAACGCUUCUCUCAGAUUCAAGCUUGACUGUGGUUGAAUUCAAUUCUUUGAAUUUUUAAAAAUACAUUUAAUUAACUCCUGCCUGUUCCCACUCCAAAUCUUCAUACUCUGCAUAGAGGAGUUGAGACAGGAUCACCAAACUGACACGUUUCUUUCUUCAAAGCACCACGACGCAUCAUGGAACAAGAUGGCGUUCCCGUCACCCACCUUCUGAUCAAAUCCUCUUUGUGAAGGCAAUAACUCAGAUUGUUCUCACAAGGCAGCCUGUACUUUUUCCUAAACAAUCCUUUUCCUUCCUUUUUCAGAGCAAAACUACACCAGGACUUCUUUUUAAACGCAGAUGGCCAAAGGCUAAGAUUUCUUGAGACCUCAAGUAUUUCUUGUCUUAGUUCUUCCAGAAGACUCUCCCGUUCCACAGGUCCCCUGCCUGAUCUGAAGCCCAUGGUGUGUUGGAGCUGCUGGUGUUGAUUCACAGACAAGCCUAGAAUUCGCCCAGUGCCACGAGCCCCUGCUGCUUCACAGACACUAUCAGGAAGCUGACUGUCACAACUACACAGCUGGCGGCGUCAGACCCCGACCUCCCAGCGCCCCACAUGCCUGGGACAGACAGUUUGCUUUCUGUUUGGAACCCUGGCAGGUUCUGAACUCCUACAGCCUCCUGGCUCCACGACAUCAGGUGCUCAAAGAGGUGACAAAUAUUCCUGGAUUUAUGGUUGACAAAUCCUACAGAUAGUCCUGAAGUAGACUGACUGUGGACUAAUGAAAGGAGCUAGCUAUUUUGCUUGACAUUUGGAAGGCUCCUCUUGUUAUAACACGGGAGCCAGCCCCGGUUUCACACGUGGACUGAAACACUCCACAAGACUAUGUGCCAAGGGAACUCUAUAACCUUCAGGCAUUUUGCUGGUACAUGCAUCUUUGAAUCACUGCUAUUCUUAAAACCCUUCCUUUCACCUUGUAUUUGAAAAAAAAAAUUUCUAUGCAAUCUAAUAAAGUGCAAUGUUAUUAAACAUUUUGAGUGAAAUGAGCAAGGUAGUGGGAGCAGUAGGGACAAAGUAAAAUGUUGUGUCCCGAGAAAUUGGCUUUACAACCAAGUCAUUGUCAUGCAAGUGCUCAACACACCCAUUCAACAAAGUAUCUGAACAAGAGGGUGUGAUGCUGGGACAUUCAAUAAAUGAAUGAGAAUCAGUUGAUCACCAGCACAUGUUGAGAAACAUUUAGAACCCCUGCUGUUCAAAGUGUGGGGAUGCAAUCCUGAAUAAAACCUAGGGUUCUUGUCCUCAGGAGAGCUUAAAUUUCAGCGGGGAGGGCAAAUCCACAUAAUUUCAAGUUUGGCUCUGUUACAAAGAAAAGAAUCAGGGUAAUAAAAUACACAGUGAGAGGGUGGAGGUAGUUAGUAUAAACCGGCUGGUCAAGGGAGAGUCUUCAGAUGACACUCAAACCAAACUGGAAUAACGAGGAUGCUGCCAGGGGACUUCUGGGAGUAUCGUCGCAGAAGGGGAACAAGUGCAAAGCAGCCCAGAGGAAUGCUCCCGGCUCGUUAAGAGACCCGUAACAACUUAGACAACAGUAAGAGGGAGUGUGGUGGAGACGAGGCUACUGAGGUUGGGGAAGGAGCUCUUAAACAACACACAGGCCCCUAAAGCUGAGGUAGG